CUUCGGGUUAGUGGCGGACGGGUGAGUAACGCGUGAGAAUCUGCCCUCAGGAGGGGGAUAACGGUUGGAAACGACCGCUAAUACCCCAUAUGCCGCGAGGUGAAAUGAAUUUCGCCUGAGGAUGAGCUCGCGUCUGAUUAGCUAGUUGGUGGGGUAAGAGCCUACCAAGGCUUCGAUCAGUAGCUGGUCUGAGAGGAUGAUCAGCCACACUGGGACUGAGACACGGCCCAGACUCCUACGGGAGGCAGCAGUGGGGAAUUUUCCGCAAUGGGCGAAAGCCUGACGGAGCAACGCCGCGUGAGGGAUGAAGGCCUCUGGGCUGUAAACCUCUUUUAUCAAGGAAGAAGAUCUGACGGUACUUGAUGAAUAAGCCACGGCUAAUUCCGUGCCAGCAGCCGCGGUAAUACGGGAGUGGCAAGCGUUAUCCGGAAUUAUUGGGCGUAAAGCGUCCGCAGGCGGUCUUACAAGUCUGUCGUUAAAGCGUGGAGCUUAACU
rnacentral:rRNA from 1 species